AUUGAACGCUGGCGGCAGGCUUAACACAUGCAAGUCGAGCGGGGUGAUGUGCUUCGGUACUGAUCCUAGCGGCGGACGGGUGAGUAAUGCUUAGGAAUCUGCCAUUUAGUGGGGGACAACAUUCCGAAAGGAAUGCUAAUACCGCAUACGUCCUACGGGAGAAAGCAGGGGAUCUUCGGAACUUGCGCUAAAUGAUGAGCCUAAGUCGGAUUAGCUAGUUGGUGGGGUAAAGGCCUACCAAGGCGACGAUCUGUAGCGGGUCUGAGAGGAUGAUCCGCCACACUGGGACUGAGACACGGACCAGACUCAUACGGGAGGCAGCAGUGGGGAAUAUUGGACAAUGGGCGGAAGCCUGAUCCAGCCAUGCCGCGUGUGUGAAGAAGGCCUUUUGGUUGUAAAGCACUUUAAGCGAGGAGGAGGCUACCUGGAUUAAUACUCUGGGGUAGUGGACGUUACUCGCAGAAUAAGCACCGGUUAACUCUGUGCCAGCAGCCGCCGUAAGAC
rnacentral:rRNA from 1 species